AACGAACGCUGGCGGCAUGCCUAACACAUGCAAGUCGAACGAGACCUUCGGGUUUAGUGGCGCACGGGUGCGUAACGCGUGGGAACCUGCCCUUAGGUUCGGAAUAACUCCCCGAAAGGGGUGCUAAUACCGGAUAAUGUCUUCGGACCAAAGAUUUAUCGCCUUUGGAUGGGCCCGCGUUGGAUUAGCUAGUUGGUAGGGUAAAAGCCUACCAAGGCGACGAUCCAUAGCUGGUCUGAGAGGAUGAUCAGCCACACUGGGACUGAGACACGGCCCAGACUCCUACGGGAUGCAGCAGUGGGGAAUAUUGGACAAUGGGCGAAAGCCUGAUCCAGCAAUGCCGCGUGAGUGAUGAAGGCCUUAGGGUUGUAAAGCUCUUUUACCCGGGAUGAUAAUGACAGUACCGGGAGAAUAAGCUCCGGCUAACUCCGUG
rnacentral:rRNA from 1 species